AGAGGCACUUUCUGUGUCAACACUCACGUGGAUUGCAAAGACAGCAGAGAGAUGUGCGAUGUUGAUCCAAUUCACAAAUGAAAAUCGCAAAAAUUAUGAGCAGUAUGACAAUUAUAAAUCGCAGUUGUGAGUGUUGCUAUGCAGUCGAAUGUUGAGCUCCAUGUUUCCGAUACGCUGGCUGUAACUGCUAUUCACAUUUGUGUUUUGACAGUACUGUUCUUUAUUAACGCCAUUGUUAAGUUGAUAUAGUGCAUUUGUCUACUGCUGAGCUGCAUAAAGAAAACACUAACUGCAUAUGACUGCAUAUGAUUAUGCUAAUCAUUAACGAGUAACCAAAUGUGCUAACUGUGGUUAGCGUUUUCUUGAAAAUGGCCUGUCAGCAGUUGACCACAUCAUGUUGACUAUGUCUAGUUAUUAAUAGCGGUAACUGCACAUCCGAAAGCCGAGGAACUCUCAGAAAGCUUUCAUCACUGUGAUUGCAGAGCCGUCACAAAUGGAACCAAGUCAGAUUGUGAGAAAAAUCAGUUUAUGAUGCAUAGUUAUUUACUUUAAUCUUAAAUCUCAUGUAUUUUUAAUACCCCUAAAAAGUGCUUUAUGUUUAUUGCUUUAAAGUUUAAGUGUGUAAGAAACUGAUUUGUAGCUGUUAGUAAAUUGUGAGAACCCCGGAAGUAACGCUGUGGAUUUUAGUAUAUACUGAAACGGGAAUAUUCAGCUUUGAGGUUAAUGGCAGAUAUUUCCAGCAUCCUUCCUGUAGAGAAGAUGAGACAAAGAGAUUUGGAAGCCACUCCGCCCACAGAGAAGACUUAAACCCUCUGCAUCUCCAAUCAGGCUGUCAUCCUCGGUCACCGUCAGGUCUGUGCUCGCCCCAGUGAACAUUCAACGCUGUCGGCAUAUGCAGGCGGAGUCGACUGACAGUCCAGUCAUUUUGCUUCUUGCUCACACCGGCGAGGGCCGAAGGUUCCCUGUCUGCAGCGGCAGAGAAAAGAGGAAGAGAUGAUGUGCAGGAGAUGGAGAGAAAAUGUGACUUUUGAAGAAAAAUAUGGGGGUGGGGGGUAGCGUACAGCUUGCUUGGCAUCUAAGGUCCGACAAAUGGUUUUGUUUUUAUAAGUAGGGCUGCUGGAGGCAAAAACAAGAAUAUAUUUAAUGUCAGCAAAGAUGUCGCAAAAUUAUGAAUAAACUUUCUGAUGUUGCAUUUACAUGUAACCCAUUAUAUGCAUCAGCACUGUUGUGUUUUUGUCUAACUCUACCUGCAGGACAGCAGAAAAUUCUCAUGAGACAUGGAGACCAAA